rnacentral:tRNA from 9 species
GGAGUAGUACUCAAGUGGCUGAAGAGGCGCCCUUGCUAAGGGUGUAGGUCGGGAAACCGACGCCAGAGUUCGAAUCUCUGCUACUCCG